AGGGUUUGAUCAUGGCUCAGAACGUACGCUGGCGGCACGCCUAACACAUGCAAGUCGAACGAAGUAGCAAUACUUAGUGGCAGACGGGUGAGUAACAUGUAGGUAUCUGCCCUUUGGCCUGGAAUAACACGAGGAAACUUGUGCUAAUACCGGAUAAGUCUUUACGGAGAAAGCUUUAUGCACCAUUGGAUGAGCCUGCACUUGAUUAGUUUGUUGGUGGGGUAAUGGCCUACCAAGACUGUGAUCAAUAGCUGAUUUGAGAGGAUGAUCAGCCACAUUGGGACUGAGACACGGCCCAAACUCCUACGGGAGGCAGCAGUGGGGAAUCUUGCACAAUGGAGGAAACUCUGAUGCAGCGAUGCCGCGUGAGUGAAGAAGGCCCUUGGGUUGUAAAGCUCUUUCGUCGGGGAAGAAAAUGACUGUACCCGAAUAAGAAGGUCCGGCUAACUUCGUGCCAGCAGCCGCGGUAAUACGAAGGGACCUAGCGUAGUUCGGAAUUACUGGGCUUAAAGAGUUCGUAGGUGGUUGAAAAAGUUGGUGGUGAAAUCCCAGAGCUUAACUCUGGAACUGCCAUCAAAACUUUUCAGCUAGAGUAUGAUAGAGGAAAGCAGAAUUUCUAGUGUAGAGGUGAAAUUCGUAGAUAUUAGAAAGAAUACCAAUUGCGAAGGCAGCUUUCUGGAUCAUUACUGACACUGAGGAACGAAAGCAUGGGUAGCGAAGAGGAUUAGAUACCCUCGUAGUCCAUGCCGUAAACGAUGUGUGUUAGACGUUGGAAAUUUAUUUUCAGUGUCGCAGCGAAAGCGAUAAACACACCGCCUGGGGAGUACGACCGCAAGGUUAAAACUCAAAUGAAUUGACGGGGACCCGCACAAGUAGUGGAGCAUGUGGUUUAAUUCGAAGAUACGCGCAGAACCUUACCAACACUUGACAUGUUCGUCGCGACUCUAAGAGAUUAGAGUUUUCGGUUCGGCCGGACGAAACACAGGUGCUGCAUGGCUGUCGUCAGCUCGUGUCGUGAGAUGUUGGGUUAAGUCCCGCAACGAGCGCAACCCUCACUUUUAGUUGCCAUCAUUAAGUUGGGCACUCUGAAAGAACUGCCAGUGAUAAGCUGGAGGAAGGUGGGGAUGACGUCAAGUCCUCAUGGCCCUUACGUGUUGGGCUACACACGUGCUACAAUGGUAUCUACAACAGGAAGCAAGACUGCGAAGUUAAGCAAAUCCCUAAAAGAUACCUCAGUUCGGAUUGCACUCUGCAACUCGAGUGCAUGAAGCUGGAAUUACUAGUAAUCGUGGAUCAGCGUGCCACGGUGAAUGCGUUCCCGGGUCUUGUACACACCGCCCGUCACACCAUGGGAGUUGGUUCUACCUUAAGGCAAGGUUUCAAACCCUUGACCACGGUAUAGUCAGCGACUGGGGUGAAGUCAUAACAAGGUAGCCGUA
rnacentral:rRNA from 1 species